rnacentral:rRNA from 1 species
UACGUAGGGGGCAAGCGUUGUCCGGAUUCAUUGGGCGUAAAGAGCGUGUAGGCGGCCAGGUAGGUCGGUUGUGAAAACUGGAGGCUCAACCUUCAGAGGUCGACCGAAACCAUCUGGCUAGAGUCCGGGAGAGGAGAGUGGAAUUCCUGGUGUAGCGGUGAAAUGCGUAGAUAUCUGGAGGAACACCGGUGGCGAAGGCGGCAUCCUGGACCAUUACUGACGCUGAGGCGCGAAAGCUAGGGGAGCAAACGGG